rnacentral:rRNA from 1 species
ACGCUGGCGGCGUGCUUAACACAUGCAAGUCGAACGAUGAACCUCCUUCGGGAGGGGAUUAGUGGCGAACGGGUGAGUAACACGUGGGCAAUCUGCCCUGCACUCUGGGACAAGCCCUGGAAACGGGGUCUAAUACCGGAUAUGACUCGGGAGGGCAUCCUUCCGGGUGGAAAGCUCCGGCGGUGCAGGAUGAGCCCGCGGCCUAUCAGCUUGUUGGUGGGGUGAUGGCCUACCAAGGCGACGACGGGUAGCCGGCCUGAGAGGGCGACCGGCCACACUGGGACUGAGACACGGCCCAGACUCCUACGGGAGGCAGCAGUGGGGAAUAUUGCACAAUGGGCGAAAGCCUGAUGCAGCGACGCCGCGUGAGGGAUGACGGCCUUCGGGUUGUAAACCUCUUUCAGCAGGGAAGAAGCGCAAGUGACGGUACCUGCAGAAGAAGCGCCGGCUAACUACGUGCCAGCAGCCGCGGUAAUACGUAGGGCGCAAGCGUUGUCCGGAAUUAUUGGGCGUAAAGAGCUCGUAGGCGGCUUGUCGCGUCGGAUGUGAAAGCUCGGGGCUUAACCCCGGGUCUGCAUUCGAUACGGGCAGGCUAGAGUGUGGUA